AGGUGGCAGUCAGCAUGGAUAGUGCUGUGAGAAAACUGAACCAAAUUCAGCACUCGAUAGGAACAAAAUCCUUCUGCUUUGCUUCGCUGUAGGACUACAGGAUCUUGAAGCUGAGUCUGUUCAGUAGGAAAUUACUGGAAAAAUAGUGGCACAUUCCCUUGAUCUGUGUGACAUUCUCAGUUCUUGCCUUCAUCCAGGAUAUUUUUACCAUAACCUUGCAAGGGAGUGAAGCAUACUAUUUACAGAUUUAAAUAUAUUUUAUCCAUUAUUUCCCCACUGUUACUGCACCCACAUGAUGACAAGUUCUACAAUAACAGCACAGAGUUGCAACUUCUAGUUUUCAUCUUUAAGCUGUCUUGUAGUUGCUGUGCUGUGUCCUAGAUGCAUCAGUCUGAUAUUGCUUAUACAACUUUAAUGCUGUGUGCACUGAACUGCAAGCAUUUGAGAUAGACUUAAUGGUGGCAAAUUAACUGAGAGACAAAACAUCAAAUUAAUGAUGGAGAGUGAUAGAUACACUUAAGAGAAAAACCCAUUCUACGUUAGCAUCAGAUCAGUACGGAGAGCUCAAAUCUGCACCACCAGAAAGAGACACAGAAGUUCACCACUGCAGCUCUCAAGCCAGCAGAUAUUUGAGGCAAGUGUUCUGUAAAGUUAGUACAACUCUCCAGUUUCUACCCUUAUUGCAAUUUUUGUGGGAUUGUUUCCCUAGCUAGGGGCUGCAGGGUCAUUUUUUAAAAAAGCAAUCCUUUGCUGGCUCUGCACUUCUGAAUACAACCCAAUGUUUAAAUCCUGAAGUCCUUAUUCAGCGAAACUUUUAUCAAAUUUUGCAGGGAGAAAGAGGGGUGCCUGUACAUGGAUUCAAAUUCUGUUUCACCAUAUACUGGCCAUGGCAAGAGAUUGUGUUUAACGUUUAGGAAGUGAAAUUCUAACAAACAUUGCUAAAUGCUGAUGUAGUUGAAACCUGUUAUUUGGGGGAGUGCAUCACACCAUUUUGUGCUUUACCAUGCUGGAUUAAUGCCAAAGAACGAAGCCAAAAUGAAACACAAAUUGUAAUCAGUCUCCAGCAAUGGAACUGCUUUCUCAUCACCCUUUUGUUCGAAUGGCAUCAUGCAGAAACCCAACAAGCUAUGAGACUGCAAACAGGUUUGCUUUGUGAGGAAUUCAGCGGUGAUGGGCCAGCUCUGGCUGGGCUCCACUGCCUGUUUAUAACAGGGGAAGAACUGGAGCAGAGCUGUUUGAUUCAGCCUUGAAAAUCGGUAUUAAAUUGUUGAUGAUGGCGUAGGAGCUGCUGCUCCAGCUGUUUGAACUUUAGCAGAGGGAUAACGCCAGCUUCCAAUGUGUUGCUUCACAAACACAA